rnacentral:rRNA from 1 species
UGGGGAAUCUUGCGCAAUGGGCGAAAGCCUGACGCAGCGACGCCGCGUGCGGGAAGAAGGUCUUCGGAUUGUAAACCGCUUUCAGGGGGGAAGAAGCGAGAGUGACGGUACCUCCAAAAGAAGGCCCGGCCAACUACGUGCCAGCAGCUGCGGUAAUACGUAGGGGCCUAGCGUUGUCCGGAAUUAUUGGGCGUAAAGAGCUCGUAGGCGGCCCACCAAGUCGGAUGUGAAAUCUCAAGGCUCAACCUUGAAAUUGCAUCCGAUACUGAUGGGCUUGAGGCAGGUAGGGGAAGGUGAAAUUCCUGGUGUAGCGGUGAAAUGCGCAGAUAUCAGGAGGAACACCGGUGGCGAAGGCGGCCUUCUGGGCCUGUACUGACGCUGAGGAGCGAAAGCGUGGGGAGCAAACAGGAUUAGAUACCCCCGUAGUCC